AUAUCUCUCUGUACGGGAAGGAUGAGAAGCUUCUACCAGGGUUCGAUUCGAGCGCAGCGAGAAAGCGUUGCCGCAGGCAACGACCCGAAGGGCGAAGCGCGCAGCGCUGAGUCAUU
rnacentral:sRNA from 1 species